rnacentral:rRNA from 1 species
UACAGAGGGUGCGAGCGUUGUUCGGAAUUAUUGGGCGUAAAGCGCAUGUAGGCGGCGCCUUAAGUCGCGUGUGAAAGCCCCCAGGCUCAACCUGGGAAGUGCGCGCGAAACUGGGGUGCUUGAGUGCUGGAGAGGGUGGCGGAAUCCCGGUGUAGAGGCGAAAUUCGUAGAUAUCGGGAGGAACACCAGAGGCGAAGGCGGC